rnacentral:rRNA from 1 species
CCUACGGGAGGCAGCAGUGGGGAAUCUUGCGCAAUGGGCGAAAGCCUGACGCAGCAACGCCGCGUGCGGGAAGAAGGCUUUCGGGCUGUAAACCGCUUUCAGUAGGAACGAAACUGACGGUACCUACAGAAGAAGGAGCGGCCAACUAUGUGCCAGCAGCCGCGGUGACACAUAGGCUCCAAGCGUUGUCCGGAUUUAUUGGGCGUAAAGAGCUCGUAGGCGGUUGAGUAAGUCGGGUGUGAAAACUUUGGGCUUAACCCAAAGAUGCCACUCGAUACUGUUCAACUUGAGUUUGGUAGGGGAGUGGGGAAUUCCUUGUGUAGCGGUGAAAUGCGCAGAUAUAAGGAGGAACACCGGUGGCGAAGGCGCCACUCUGGGCCAAUACUGACGCUGAGGAGCGAAAGCGUGGGGAGCAAACAGGAUUAGAUACCCUGGUAGUCCACGCGGUAAACGGUGGUCACUAGGUGUGGGUCUCUAACCAAUGAGAUCCGCGCCGUCGCUAACGCAUUAAGUGACCCGCCUGGGGAGUACGGUCGCAAGACUAAAACUCAAAGGAAUUGACGG